GACGAACGCUGGCGGCGUGCCUAAUACAUGCAAGUCGAACGCUUUUUCUUUCACCGGAGCUUGCUCCACCGAAAGAAAAAGAGUGGCGAACGGGUGAGUAACACGUGGGUAACCUGCCCAUCAGAAGGGGAUAACACUUGGAAACAGGUGCUAAUACCGUAUAACACUAUUUUCCGCAUGGAAGAAAGUUGAAAGGCGCUUUUGCGUCACUGAUGGAUGGACCCGCGGUGCAUUAGCUAGUUGGUGAGGUAACGGCUCACCAAGGCAACGAUGCAUAGCCUACCUGAGAGGGUGCUCGGCCACAGUGGGAGUGAGACACGGCCCAGACUCCUACGGGAGGCAGCAGUAGGGAAUCUUCGGCAAUGGACGAAAGUCUGACCGAGCAACGCCGCGUGAGUGAAGAAGGUUUUCGGAUGGUAAAACUCUGUUGUUAGAGAAGAACAAGGAUGAGAGUAAAAUGUUCAUCCCUUGACGGUAUCUAACCAGAAAGCCACGGCUAACUACGUGCCAGCCGCCGCAGUAA
rnacentral:rRNA from 1 species